GACGAACGCUGGCGGCGUGCUUAACACAUGCAAGUCGAACGGAAAGACCCUGCUUUUGUGGGGUGCUCGAGUGGCGAACGGGUGAGUAACACGUGAGUAACCUGCCCUUGACUUUGGGAUAACUUCAGGAAACUGGGGCUAAUACCGGAUAGGAGCUCCUGCUGCAUGGUGGGGGUUGGAAAGUUUCGGCGGUUGGGGAUGGACUCGCGGCUUAUCAGCUUGUUGGUGGGGUAGUGGCUUACCAAGGCUUUGACGGGUAGCCGGCCUGAGAGGGUGACCGGCCACAGUGGGAAUGAGAUACGGCCCAGACUCCUACGGGAUGCAGCAGUGGGGAAUAUUGCACAGUGGGCGGAAGCCUGAUGCAGCAACGCCGCGUGCUAGAUGACGGCCUUCGGGUUGUAAACCGCUUUCGCCUGUGACGAAGCGUGAGUGACGGUAAUGGGUAAAGAGGCACCGGCUAACUACGUG
rnacentral:rRNA from 1 species